rnacentral:rRNA from 1 species
UUUGCCCUACGGGACGCAGCAGUGAGGAAUAUUGGGCAAUGGAGGCAACUCUGACCCAGCCAUGCCGCGUGAGUGAAGAAGGUUUUCGGAUUGUAAAGCUCUUUCGGAUGUGACGAUGAUGACGGUAGAAUCUAAAGAAGCCCCGGCUAACUUCGUGCCAGCAGCCGCGGUAAUACGAAGGGGGCAAGCGUUGUUCGGAAUUACUGGGCGUAAAGGGAGUGUAGGCGGCUUAGUAAGAUAGUGG